AUUGAACGCUGGCGGCAUGCCUUACACAUGCAAGUCGAACGGUAACAGGUCUUCGGAUGCUGACGAGUGGCGAACGGGUGAGUAAUACAUCGGAACGUGCCUAGUAGUGGGGGAUAACUACUCGAAAGAGUGGCUAAUACCGCAUGAGAUCUACGGAUGAAAGCAGGGGAUCGCAAGACCUUGUGCUACUAGAGCGGCCGAUGGCAGAUUAGGUAGUUGGUGGGAUAAAAGCUUACCAAGCCGACGAUCUGUAGGUGGUCUGAGAGGACGAUCAGGCACACUGGGACUGAGACACGGACCAGACUCCUACGGGAGGCAGCAGUGGGGAAUUUUGGACAAUGGGCGCAAGCCUGAUUCAGCAAUGCCGCGUGCAGGAUGAAGGCCUUCGGGUUGUAAACUGCUUUUGUACGGAACGAAAAGCCCCGGGUUAAUACCCUGGGGUCAUGACGGUACCGUAAGAAUAAGCACCGGCUAACUACGUGCCAGCCGCCGCCGUAA
rnacentral:rRNA from 1 species